rnacentral:rRNA from 1 species
AGAACGAACGCUGGCGGCAUGCCUAAUACAUGCAAGUCGAACGAACACUUCGGUGUUAGUGGCGCACGGGUGCGUAACGCGUGGGAAUCUGCCCUUGGGUUCGGAAUAACAGUUGGAAACGACUGCUAAUACCGGAUGAUAUCGAAAGAUCAAAGAUUUAUCGCCCAGGGAUGAGCCCGCGUAGGAUUAGCUAGUUGGUGAGGUAAAGGCUCACCAAGGCGACGAUCCUUAGCUGGUCUGAGAGGAUGAUCAGCCACACUGGGACUGAGACACGGCCCAGACCUCCGUACGGGAGGCAGCAGGUAGGGAAUAUGGACAAGUGGGCGCAAGCCUGACUCCAGCAAUGCCGCGUGAGUGAUGAAGGCCGUUAGGGUUAGUAAAGUCUUCUUUACCCGAGUAUGAAUAAUGAC